CCAAUAGCGUAUAUUAAAGUUGUUGCAGUUAAAAAGCUCGUAGUUGAAUUUCAGGCCUGGCUGGACGGUCCGCCCUUCGGGUGAGUACUGUCUGUGGUCGGGUCCUACCUUCUGGCGAAGCGCCAUGGCCUUAACCGGCCGUGGCGGGGAACCAGGACUUUUACUGUGAAACAAUUAGAGUGUUCAAAGCAGGCAAUCGCUUGGAUACAUUAGCAUGGAAUAAUGGAAUAGGACAAUGGUUCUAUUUGUUGGUUUCUAGGACCGUUGUAAUGAUUAAUAGGGAUAGUUGGGGGAAUUAGUAUUCAAUUGUCAGAGGUGAAAUUCUUGGAUUUAUUGAAGACUAACUACUGCGAAAGCAUUUGCCAAGGAUGUUUUCAUUAAUCAAGAACGAAAGUUAGGGGAUCGAAGACGAUCAGAUACCGUCGUAGUCUUAACCAUAAACUAUGCCGACUAGGAAUCGGGCGAUGUUGAAAAAAUGACGCGCUCGGCACCUCAUG
rnacentral:rRNA from 1 species